rnacentral:lncRNA from 10 species
GGCCGCGCUGGGGACCCCGCUGGAGAAAUUUGCGCCCAGAGGGUGCGGGGCCGCCCUGGCCGUCCCGCCCGUGGGCCCGGCGCCCUUCUCGGAGCCCAGCCAUUCCGCUAGACCCGAACUAGGACUGGUAGGAGGGGUGAUCGGCCCAACCUCAGGCCCCAGCCGCGGGCCGGGAAGGCUUCCCCACGGACGAGGGGCAAGCCCCUCGACGUCAGGGUGUCGUCUAUGUAGAGGGGAAUCUGCCUCCUCUCAAAGGGGAAUUCUUUCAGCGAGUCAAGCCCGUCUGAUUCGGGGCUGACUCAGGGCAGAGGCCCAGAGAGGACCUGGAUAGGUUGCGAGAAGUCGAGAUCAGAGGGGGCGGAAGGCAGUGAGAAAAGGGAGACGAGCAUCGGGGGGUGAGAGACAAACUCAGGUCUGGCUCUUGGCCCUUGACGCCACUGAAUUCGCUUCCCACGGUGGGAAGAGGAGAAAAGGGCCCUGACACCGCGGCUCGCCAGGGGCCCGCUGCGUAGCUGCAUCCCGAUCCCGCUGAGGGGACAGCAAAUAGUGAAGUGCUGAUAGCUUGUGGUUGUCGUUACACUGGAAGGAAAUAGAAAACCGGACAGUGGUGUGUGUGUGUGCGUCUUGGCCAAAGGAACUUCUUGGGCUGGGAUUACAGGCGUGAGCCAACGUGCCCAGCCUAAACCUUUUAGACUUCAUUAGGAUUCUGGUUGGUAAAGAACAUUAAAAAUGACAAGCUCAUUAUAUAGGUGCUAAUUUUAAUUACUUUGACUACUGAACACACGCCAGGUACUAACAAAGAAGGGAGUAUUCACCCUGGGGAUUUAAAUCUGUGAAAAGGUAUUAAAACAUAUAUAAAACAUAAUAAAAUGAAAUCCCAAAGGUCUCUUUCCAUCUGAGCUUACUUUCCCUAAUUUGGGUUUGUCUCUUAGGUCCACCGGGCAUACUUAGUAUCUUUGGACAAAUAGGAAUUCAAUGAAAACGUAUUCUUAAAGGCGAAAAAGGUGGAUUUGCUAGGUAAGUUGCUGUUUCUCAAGGAGGUAGCCUGGGUGCUAUAAAUCCAAUCCAAUCUAAUCUAAUCUAAUACCAUACAAUAUAAUACAAUCGAUACAAUAAAAUCAAUAUCCCAAGGAAAACGCUUAGAAAAUUAUUUCAUGGCAAAAUAAUUUUUCAAAGUUUUCACUGUGCAUCUUCCUGGUUUUAGAGUAGGCACUUAUUUUUAUUUUCACUAUUGCUCUAUUUUUAGCCAUAACCACCAGUACUGCAGCAAAUACUUCUUGAGAAUUAUCCUAUGUACUUUAAAAUGAAAAGUAUCUGCUUUUAGAGAGCAAACCUCUAAUUGACGAAAUAUAUAAUUGCUACAUU